AUUUGUGGAUUUUUUCUGCCUCUGGUCCAACCUCAGCUGCCUAAGCACUGUCUUUGCUUAGCACAGUUUUCUGUUUAGCAUAACCAGCCUUGUCACAGAAAAGAAAACCCCAUUGUUUCUUGCAAGAACCUCUCCAGAUGUUCCCAGGAUUGGAAUCCACCCAUUCGUUGUGCCAGGAAUGCUUACCAUUUUUUUUCACAUCGAUGGAUAUAGAGGCUUCUCUCUGUGCCCUUCUACUUGUCUCCUGCUGCUUCAGAUGUGCAGAGUGUUUUUUGUGAAGGUUGCCUGACGUUUGGAGAAGUGAACAGGUCCUUGGUCAACACAUUGCUUGAAAUGUAUCAUGUAAAUUCUAUUUUGUUUUUUGUUUUUACCAUUUUGUAAACUAAUAAACUUUGAUACCAC